ACUGCUCAGUAACACGUAGCUAACCUACCCUAAAGCCGGCACUAACCUCGGGAAACUGAGGCUAUUGGCCGAUAAGAGAUGUUUUCUGGAAUGAUUUAUCUCUGAAAAUCUAGCGUUAGGAUGGGGCUGCGGCUGAUUAGGUUGUUGGCGGGGUAAUGGCCCACCAAGCCGAUGAUCAGUAAGGGCUCUUAGCGGAGAGGCCCUGAGAGGGAGUCUGAGACACUACUCCCAGCCCUACGGGGUGCAGCAGUCGGGAAAAUUCUGCAAUGCGCGAGAGCGUGACAGAGCAAGCCAAAGUGCUUUUCCGUUUUGGAAAAGCUUUUGUGAAAUGUAAAUAGUCUCACGAAUAAGGACUGGGUAAGACUGGUGCCAGCCGCCGCGGUAAUCCCAGCAGUCCAAGUCGCAGCCACAUUUAUUGGGUCUAAAACAUCCGUAGCUCGCUAAGUAAGUUUCUUGUGAAAUCUGGCCUCUUAAGGGUCGGGCGGGCAAGAAAUACUGCUUAGCUAGAGACCGGGAGACGUAAGGAGUACUUACAAGGUAGCGGUAAAAUGCGUUGAUCUUGUAGGGACUAACGACAGCGAAGGCACCUUACGAGAACGGAUCUGACAGUGAGGGAUGAAGGCUAGGGGCGCAAAGUGGAUUAGAUACCCAUGUAGUCCUAGCAGUAAACCCUGCACACUAAACAUUGGGACCUCCUCGAGAGGUUUCAGUGCUGUAGCGAAGGCGAAGAGUGUGCUACCUGGGGAAGUAUAGUCGCAAGACCGAAACUUAAAGGAAUUGGCGGGGGAGCA
rnacentral:rRNA from 1 species